GUAUCGACUAGCGUUACGGGGGAUAGCCGUCGAAAGGCGGAUUAAUACCCCAUAAUAUGGGAUUCUGCAUGGGAUUUCACUUAAAGCUGAGUGUGGUUAACGAUGGGCAUGCGUGCACCUUAGCUAGUUGGUAGGGUAACCGGCCUACCAAGGCUACGAUGUCUAAAGGGUUCUGCAGAGGAAGUGUCCCCCAAACUGGUACACUGAGAACACGGAACCAAGACUCCCUUACGGGCAGNGCCANGAAACGUUGACUGUGGCACAUANAUUUGGGGCCAAAUUGGGGCCGAAGAAGCCUUAGGAAACCCAAGGCCAAUACACCCAGGCGUCGCCANGGAACAGCACUGGGCCCUAUGGGGGUNCUAGGAACAAACAUGGCUUUUAUGACGCAUUCGGACGCAACUGUUACNAACCCGACAGUUAGUACAGGUAAAAUCGGAACAUCGGAGAUACAAAAUUGGGCCUGGUUCGGAACAAUUACAACGCGCCACUUCUCGGGGAGAGUUAAAAAGCUNUCCCCGGUUAGGCCGCAAUCUACAAUCGAUGCACCAGGAGUNGNGGCUAACAAUUCCAACACCGGGAAGAGNGGAACUUGGGCAC
rnacentral:rRNA from 1 species